GGAGCCCAGUAAAAGCUAUCUGUACUUGCUUGGUGGUAUACGGCUGGGAUUAAAUUUAUAUUUAGCUCAGCUUAAUGACCAUGUCCCGGAUAUCCUUACUAAGUGCAGGUACUAUGCGUAAUAGGCUGGUUUCUCCUAGCAUCAAAUAGAAGUCUCGCAAGCUUAGAUGCCUGAAGUCUGUUGAACAAUGUUUUAUUUUAU
rnacentral:lncRNA from 1 species